UCUGUUAUUACACAAGAACUCCGCGUCUAUAUUUUACCAGAAAACAUUUACGAGCAAAAAAUGCACGAUGGUAGCAGUCAUUUCUGUCACGUUAUAAAGAUCGUUUGCAUAGUUGAUUACAAAAUUUUAUACAUAGAUAUAGAAACUGCAUUAUAAAUGACUUUUUAUUUCUCAAUCUUUACAACUACGUUAAUUAUCUUCUUGGUAUUGAUUACCUGCAUUUUUUCAACUUCCGUUUGAUCCUAAAAAAAAAAAUAUAAAUAUAACCUUCAAUUUUUCAAAACGUUCAUUAAUAAUUGCAAAUAAAUUUCUGUUGAAUAAUUAUUAGGAUAAUAAUACAGAAAAUGGCAAAGGACUUACAAACGGCAAUCACUGAAAGAUAAAAUAAAAUACCUGGAAUGGUUGAUGUCUCUUAUCAGAAGCAGAAGAAUGGAUUGAUGAAUAACAAUAAUGAUAAUUCUCUGAAAAUCCAUCACUCAUUUUCCACAUAUUUAAAUAAACAUUCGCGAAGCAGUAAGACAAAUGAUGACUGCAAAAGGACAUUUUUACUCUUCAUAGUUCAUAUAUCAAAUGCUUAGAAAAGGCGACGACACAUAAAUACUGGUGUGCGGUGUACAAAAGUGGUUGUGGAAGACGCAAAUAUUCCAAGAGUCAGUGGAUAAAAUAUAUUGAAGCCAUCUCGUGUUCGCGUAGGCUUCACGAUUUUUCGGGGACACUGUCUCCCACCAUUCUUAUCCCUUAAUACACGUAAAAAAUUGUAUCUUCUAUACUUUUAAAAAUGAACUUAACCUUUUUUUUGAUUAUUUUUCAAGGUCCAAGAAUGACUUAUGUCGCCGGUAAUCUUUUACUCUUUCUCUAUAUGCUAUACUACUCUCUUGUAGUCUACUACCAGUGAUGUUUAUUUUUUCUCACUCACAUCUUCUCUUUUUACAACCGUUUAUUUUCUGUGGCACCCACAGGAGUCUCCCGCGACUAAUGCCCACCCUCGUGAUUUCGCCAACGUGUAAGAGUCUUGUGUUAAUGAUUUGUGAGGUCCCCGCUAAAAUUAUUCCACCAACUGGACUGUUAAAAUUGCCUUCGAAUAUGAUAAAACAAAUUAAAAGACAUCCAGUUUAUAAGUACAAGUCUUGAAAUUUACUGAGAAAUAUCAAUGAUCGAUUUACUCAAGCAUUUUAAUUGGAACACCAAGUGGAUCCAUUUUUAUUGAGGAUCAUUUGCAGCAUUUGUAUAAGAAUAACAUUCGAGCAAGUAAUGAGAACUGUCAGACUGACGAUCUAACUAGGAGUAAAGGGACAGGGUUCAGGAUUAUUGAAUUACUUUGGAAACAGCCAAAUGUCAAAGACUAACCAAGAGCCAAACUAACUUGAGUGUAUGUAUGAGAGCUGAAUCGUUUGGUGUUGGUGAAUUUAUGCGCUGCAUAGGAUAUAAAGUGUACGGGUAAAUGGGAUUUAUAUUCUCUUAGAUGUGUAUAAUCAGGAGCUAAGAGAGAAAUGGACAUAAGAUAUGCCCAAAUCUGAAAUGAUCCUGGAAAAAGUGAUAAUUUAAUGAGAAAAAAAUCUCUCACUGCACCUCUAAAAGUCAGUCAUUACUUUAAAUACAGAUGAAAUGUUUGAUGCGCAUUAAACUCUUGUGUAAGAUAAAUCCUAAGGAGUCAUCCAUCUGUAAACGUGAGAAAAUGCAUUAAACAUUCUAAAAAAUAAACAAUCCAGCGCAUAUUCAACUACUUCUACAUUUUGUUUUUUACUUGAUAAAAUAUGCAUACGUACAAAUGUAACAAAAUAGCAAGUAAUUGAGUUUAAUUCACCAAUAAGCACACGACUAAAUUUUAUUAACAGUUAGAUUGACAAGUGAUAAAGGAAAAAAUAUGAUUGAUAAAACACGUGUAAUAUUAUACUAAUAGUAGUGUGAGACAUUUGGGUAAGGAAAGUCAAAGUUCAAUGACGAAACACGUGUCAGAUAAUCCAUUUCUCAACAGAAGUCCGUCCAUACGCCUACGCACGUCGAGAAGGGAGAGAAGAUAAGCGAGGUCAGUCGGUGUUACCGAAACAGAAACAUAGAACAUCCCUAUGUCAGUGUAACAACCCUUACUCUAGGAGGCGGUGACCUCCGUUGGGGUUGCACAAUCGCGCUCUGAUUGAUAAUUUAUACGGUGCGUGCAGGUUAUUUGAUUAUCUAUCUUCCCCUUCUGUGACUUGUCCUCGUCGUUCUAUUCUUUCUUUCACCUUACUAAAUCUUUAUAUAUAUUUUUGUUGAAAUAUUUUCUAUUCAUAUAUAAUCAUAUAAUUCUGCACAUGUGAAUAUUUUUUUCCAAAAUGAAUUUCAAUGUAAAACUAAAAAACAUACUUGUAAAUUAUUGGAGUA